rnacentral:rRNA from 1 species
GGUGUGCACCUGUCGUGUCCGGGUCUACCUUCUGGGUUUCAAUCUAUAGUGCUCUUAACCCGGGUGCUAUAGAAUGCCAGAAAGUUACUCUGAAAAAAUUAGAGUGCUUAAAGCAAGCCGUGUGCUUGAAUACUGUUGCAUGGAAUAAUGGAAUAGGACCCGGAUCUAUUUUGUUGGUUUUCGGAGUCGAGGUAAUGAUUAAGAGGGACAGACGGGGGCAUUCGUAUUGCGCCGUUAGAGGUGAAAUUCUUUGGAUCGGCGCAAGACGAACAACUGCGAAAGCAUUUGCCAAGGAUGUUUUCAUUAAUCAAGAACGAAAGUCAGAGGUUCGAAGACGAUCAGAUACCGUCGUAGUUCUGACCAUAAACGAUGCCAACUGGCGAUCCGCCGUAGUCUGGCUUAAAGGACUCGGCGGGCAGCCUCCGGGAAACCUAAGUCUAUGGGUUCCGGGGGAAGUAUGGUUGCAAAGCUGAAACUUAAAGGAAUUGACGGAAGGGCACCACCAGGAGUGGAGCCUGCGGCUUAAUUUGACUCAACACGGGAAAACUCACCCGGCCAGGACACCGUAAGGAUUGACAGACUGAGAGCUCUUUCUUGAUUCGGUGGGUGGUGGUGCAUGGCCGUUCUUAGUUGGUGGAGCGAUUUGUCUGGUUAAUUCCGAUAACGAACGAGACUCUAGCCUGCUAAAUAGACGGGCGAUCCCAUUGUGGGUCGACCCGAUCAGCUUCUUAGAGGGACAAGUGG